UCCCUCCCCAGCGAACGACCAGAGAGGCCCCCUUCCCGAGCGCGACAGCUAGGGUUCCUAGCCGCCGCCGGCCCGCCACCACUGCUGCCGGCCCUCCGCGGCGGCGCGCUUAGCCGUACGAAGCCGCCGCUGCCCCGCCGCCGGUACAGGAGCCCAGCAGCGCCUUCCUCCGUCGAGCAGCGCCUCCCUCCCUGGAGCUACGCCGGCGACCAGUCCAUAGGCAGGAUUUAGUGUGUUGCAGUUAAGAGCGAAGUUUUCCUCACAAGAGAGGAAGAAAGAAGUGACCUUAUCAAUAAACCUGAACGAGGGACAUUAUUGCACGCUGAGCUUCCUGCUCAUCUUAAUCACCCUUCAUAUCUGAUGAGGUCAAGAGCAUCAAGAGUAAAGCAGGCCGACACAGGUUCACCAGGUGAGAGGGACCUAUGCUUUUAAUUCUAAGUCAUUCGAUGGAAAGAGGCACACCACAGAACAUUGCAAUACUGAUGUUUCAUUUUCUGAGCUUGAAGGAGCCUUCAGUGCGCCUGUUAGGAAGAAAAGAGGGAGAAGAGCACCUCCAUCUUCUAGAUGUUUACGUGGUAAAAAGGAUGAUAAUGUCAUGAGCAGUGAUGACGCUAUUACAGAAGAAGACGAUGCUGCCUCUCCUUCAAGCAGGAAGGCAAAACAGCAGAAUCAUGGGGAGAUAGCUGUUGGAAGCUCAGCUGGCCCCACAGGCCAGAGUGUCUCAGUAAAUGAAGCACAUGAAAACUCAAGGGCAUUGAAAAAUACUUCUAAUGUGCAAACAACUGCUGUUAAGAAGACUACUGCUGAGGAUAAAACUUCUCGAGCAAUCAUGGAUGAUGUUUUUAAUGCAGAGAUAGAUUCCACGUCUUCAGAUGAUGAGAGUACCGAAGAAGUUGAGGAUGUGAAAGUUUGUGACAUAUGUGGAGAUGUUGGUGAUGAGGUGAAGCUUGCUGUUUGCAAUAGAUGCAACGAUGGCGCUGAGCAUACUUAUUGCAUGCGGGUGAUGAUGGAAAAGGUUCCGGAUGGUGAGUGGUUUUGUGAAGAGUGCCAAACUGAAGUAGAACUUGAAAAGGAGAAGUUAGAAAAACCUCAGGUGAAGCUUGUCACUUCAAAGGAAGAGUCUGUUGAAGGGAAAAUCAGUAAACCUUUCAAUGAUGCAAACAGCAGAAGUCCUUGUGAGAAUGAAGUGGAGGAUGAAACUGUUGGCAGAAAAGAACGGAAUGAAGCAAAUCAAGGCAUUGAUAUGGUUGAAGAUGCAAAGAUUCUGCCUGUGGCUAAACAAAAUAUUCCUGAACCUGGUGGUUUAUCAAUGGAGUCUUACUCCAGAAAAGGAAUACCUCUGCCACGCGAGAGCUCAUUCAGGUUGGAUAAGGAGAAAGGAAAGCAACCUACUUCCCAAGUGCCAAUCUUACUUGGGUCUAAUGCUAGCAAGAAUCAGGCACCACCACUUACAGGUCAACUCUCCAAGUCCACUUCUUUCAACAACUCUAAGGUGCCCAAGGUGAAGCAACUAGUGAAUGAAGUUCCUCAGAAGACUAAAACUUGGAAGGAACAGUUGUCCUGUAGUAUGAGAAAAGAGGGGCCAACGAGCUUUUCAACUAAGUCAGCAUCAUUCAAAAAGCCCAAAACUUGUGAGCCAGCAAAUAAGGCAAAGUCUUCCAUCAUACCACCUGCUGAGGAGCUAAGUGCGAUGAAUUUACCAGUGAGCCGAAAUGUAAGUAAUGAUAGAGGCACUUCUAUAUUAGGAUGCCCCUCAAUUACUGGACCACUGGCUUUUCCAGUUCAAUCAAGAGCAGAAUCUGCAGCUCAGCGCCUCACUACAGGAAAUAACAUAUCUGCCUCUAGCAAUUCAGGCCAUUUUACCCAAUUUUGUGGUGUUGAUAAAUUAGGUUUGUCUGCAAUGAAACCUCUGAGUGAGCGAAACUUGAAGGAUGCCUCUGCCAAAAGGAAUAAAAUGUCUGAAGCUACUGAAAAAGUUACUUCCAGAUCAGCAGGUCAAUCUGAUCACAUCCUCAAAUGUGGUCCUUAUCAUGACCCAGAUCAAGAUCUGAGAAGCAGUUCAUCUACGUCUAUGAGAACAGCUUCCACAGACUAUAGCAGCCUGAAAUUCAAAGACUGUCGAGCUGUAUCGGCUGUAACAGGAAGAUCUGUUCCCAGCAGUUCUACUAUAUCAAGUGAUCCGAUUGACAAAUCGAGUCGAGGCUUUUCACCUGUUGAUAAAACAAUAGUUUCAACUGUUCCAGAGUUGGAUUAUAUUUGGCAGGGUGAUUUUGAGCUGUGGAGGACUGGAAGAUCACCUGAGCUAUGUGAUGGUUUUCAAGCUCACUUAUCAUGUUCUGCUUCACCAAAAGUGCUGGAAGUAGCAAAGAAAUUCCCUUCUAGAGUCCAGCUUGAAGAACUGCCUCGUCGAAACUCAUGGCCCACACAGUUUCAACAAAAUGGACCCACAUAUGAGAAUAUUGGUGUUUUCUUCUUUGCUAGAGAUGCUCAGAGCUAUGAACAUCAUUACAGUAAAUUGGUUCAGAAUAUGCUAAUCAAUGAUUUGGCACUCAGAGGAAAUAUCGAAACAGCUGAAUUAAUUAUAUUCCCUUCUAACAUCCUAUCAAAGAACUCUCAAAGAUGGAACAUGUUCUAUUUUCUAUGGGGUGUGUUUAAAGUGAAAAGAGAAGAUCACUGGAACCUUCCACUUGAUGUACCGAUAAGUAAAUGCGAACCUAAUUUGAAUGAGGAUCCCCUGACCGUGGAUCCGCAUACCUCCGUUUUGUCGUCUAGCCGUUCAUUGUCUGAAGACCAAAAUAAUGGCACUGACCCAGCCUGUUAUUUGGUUAAGUCUGCCACUUCCGCAGACCAUCAAUGUCUGCAAACUUCGGAAGCUAAUCUUCAGGGAUGUUCAAAUGGAGAUAACUCUUCGGUCCAGGCUGUGGCUGGAAGAGAUUUGAAAGAUCACUGUCAUGAUUCAAGUACGACAUGUUUUACAAAUAACAGGAGGGCAAUCGAUGAUUUUUCCACUGCUCCGGCAGGAAAACACAAGAUAAUUGCAUAUCCAGACUCUCAAAAGAAAAUGUGCGACGGUGGCAAUGUUGUUGAACCCAUUUUUGAUGUAAAUACGAUGCCAGUUACUUGCUCUAUCUCAUCAAUCCACAAACAAGAUAAUCAGAACAGAGCCAUCAACCUUAACAAUGCAGAGAGCCUGAUGGAUGUAGAUCAUGCAAAUAACAUUGAACUGAACUCAGGCACAGUGGAUCUUGUUUCACAUGCAUCACGUAGUGCACAAAAAAGAAAUGUGGAUAUGGCAAACUGGAUUGAUGGAGCCAAUGGAUCAGUAGACAAGAAAAUUAAAUUGGAUAAUGUAUCGUCCACUGUGGAGUCUAGUUUAAGUGGGACGAUCAGAGAUGGAAGGUUAUCAUCCAAGGUACACCCUCUAGCAGCUUUACCUGUUCAUGAUUGCACUGACAAUAAGACCAUGGCAGGAAUCUCAAAGAGUAAUGGAAAGUGCACAUUUCCGCUAGAUCUAAACGUGGUGGAUGAUGCAGAUAUAAACUCGGUGGAUGAUGCAGCGACUGGAAAUAGCAUGACCGUUCAGUCUGAAGAUUUACCUGAACAGAACACACAGGAUCUCAAGCCAGCAUUGGGGGACAACACAUCUUCUAGAAAACCGAUGGUUGAAGAAAAGUGGAAUAAAGGAGAUCCACCGCCUACUGAUAUGUCAGGCGCUCUGUCUCUCUCCCUUGCUUUUCCAGCAUCAAAGGAACAAUAGGCUGGUAAAAUGCAACCGGAAUCGCAAAGAGGCCUCAGAUUAGCAGUAGGAAUUACUCGUUUUCGAUUAACCAGUGAUGAUGGCUCCUUGCGUUUGCAUUCCUGAUGUCUUGCAAGAUGGAUCUUUGUAGCAUCAACCCACUGCACAAGGAGUCUGCUGAAGACACAACUAUCUUGUCAAUGUGCAAACAGAUGGCAUCUUUUAGAGUGCAUUUUGACGACUUUACAUGCUCCCGGCGGCACACCCAUGUUGAGUAUUGAAUUGCGAAGAACUUGAGAGAGUGGAUCAUGGCUUGUUUUGGUACAGAAAACAUACACAUAUAUUCAGCUGCUCUUCCAAACAUCGAUAGAGAUUUGAGCAGAGCUUCAGACUCUGCAUUUUAAGUACCAUCCAAUCUCUGCAUGUUAAAUAAAUCUCAUGUCAGUUUUUGUCUUUAGCUUGCAACAGUGCGAUAUACUCUGGGGGAAUGGUGGUGUAAACGCCUAAAAUUGGCACAUAACACUUAACUUUUCUGUUGCCUUAAAAUUGCCUCUGGGAUAUCUAAAUUUAUGAAAUCACUAGUUGAGGUA